rnacentral:lncRNA from 1 species
UACCCCCAGCGAGGGAGUGGGGAGGAUGCCCCCUGGGGCCGGCCCACCUCUGACCCACGGCCCCUUGUCCCCAGCCCUCGGAGUGUGAGCAGUGCACCUGUGACCCGGACGGCAUCGCUCGCUGCCUGGUGGCCGACUGCGCCCCCCCGCCCUGCGUCAACGCCGUCUACGAGACGGGCCAGUGCUGCCCCACGUGCCAGGACGGUCCCAACUGCUACGCGGACAGGAGCCGGACGCGCAUCAUCCCCGCCGGAGAGGCCGUCUGGGUGGAGCCCUGCACCCGGUGUCGCUGCCACGACGGCCAGGACGCAGGCUACUGGGAAGGCAACCGGGUGGCCAAGUGCGAACUGCUCCGUAACUGCCGCCCGCUGGACCGGCCCGACUCCUGAGCGCCCCUCUCCCAACCCCAUCCCCCACCUCCUGCUGGGCCGCAGAGCCUCCCCCACCUUCUGCUGGGCCGCAGAGCCCCCCUCAAAAA